AUAAUUUUAUUUAAUAAUAAAGGCUUUUUAAAUCUGUUCUUAUCAGCUUGAUAUCUGAUACGGUUUCCAUCAGAGACCUUCGAUAUUAACCUGAGUUUUGGAACUGGGCGGGAAAGGGAAAUUGCUCCCUCCCCGCCGCGGGUUGCUCUGGCCUGGCACUUAUUGCCAGAGAUAGCCCACCCCCC